GUUGUACUGCCUCAAGUGAUUGAGCUAGGUCACCUUACGAUGGAUUGGUCUUGCAUGGUCCAAACGCAUACCGGUCUUAUCAUUUCUCUUUGCUUUGGCAAUGAGAAAUGAUAAAGACCAAGUGCCGUGAGGAGCGGUUUGUACAGCUGAGUGACAUAGUGCAGCGAGGUGGUAUUCCUCGGUGCAGCUGCACUCGACUAGAACUUUAGCAUAAUGGACAGACCGAUCGUCAUUGUACUCUGGACUAGUGUAGGCUUAACCAGACGGAGUCGAGACCUUACUGAUCGCAAGAAGAGGUCAUAGAUGAAAUGGCAUAUCGAUAGGCAUCCUGGGAAGGACGCAUCCACUGUUAACUGGCCGAGACUGACCGGGAACUAUCACUAGCAUUUUCUUUGUCAUCGUCAUGACAACCGUUAACAAGUACUUCUCUUGAACUAAAAAAGUGAUAAACCUUUUGGAAAUACCCUUUGCGCUUUCCAUAGUCUAUUUUGUAUUAGGUUUUCUUUGGGCGGGGCAUGUUUGAAUGUGGUCUGCCUUUGGGUACCUGCUACAUAUAGUUACAGCACUUCGUGUACCCACAUCCUUUAAUCACGAAUGUUUUGUUUAAAUUCAGAGUGUAACUAUUAUUUGAUAUGGAUUUUUUUCUUCUGAGGCUUUGUUAUGAUUAUAAAUAUGAAAAUGAUGGAUUUUACCAGUAGUGGUCACAGAUCAUGCUUUCUUACUACUGUUUCCGUGGUGCACAAUCUAACUCCAUUAGUAUAUUAUAUUACAUGCAGGUAAAAGAACACGAAAUAUGGAGAAUAACAUUCUUGAUUUUUAAACAGCUUUUAGAAGAAAUUUUAGAUGAGCGGUUCAACAAUUAAUUCCCAGCAGGCAUACAACGUUGUACCAACGUUGAAAGUACGUUGAUUAUGGUUGACGACAUUGAACAACCAGAAACAACGUAACAAGACGUUGAAAAAAAGACAUUAAAAACCUAAUUUUCAACGGCAGUAUGAGGUCUUGUACUCUGAGAUAUAUCGACUAAGACAUAACAUAAAAAAAUUAUCUGAUUGUAUUGUUUUGUAAUAAAUAUAAGCAUUUUCCCAGAUCAAGACUGAACGAUAAUAGACCUUUGUACUCCAAGUCUUUAAAACAAUGCCAUUUUUUAUAACAUACAUUAAGAUAUAUAAACCAAUAGACCUAGAGUGAAUUUACAAAUAUAAAAUGCAUACUAAACUAGUAAAUUCGGGUGCGUUAGCCAAUAGUGUAUUACCUCGCCCCAAUCUGAACUGUUUGAAACGAGCUGACCAAUUAGUAUCACAUUACUGGCGCAAACUCAAACAAAGAGAUAGAGUCCAGCUGUGGGGAAGGAGAGCGCAUUUUGAAUUUGAAAGUGUGAAGCAACACAUCGGCCAUUGAGGCAAAAUGAUUUGGAUUUUAUCAUCGCAAAAGUGAAAUGUUGUUCGACAUCGUGUACAUGUAUCGAAGCAAAAUUGGGAGUCCCAUUAUUGUAUCUCAGGAAACUCGAUUGAAAAGACGGAAGGAAGAACAAUGAAUUAUUGUUUAGAAAAAUGACGACUCUGUGAUCCGAACAAACUAUUGAUAUGUGUAUCAUCUGUUUUAUGGUGGUGAACGUGUUGCUACUUAUUGACUAAUAAGGAACUAUUGUGAGGAAAUUAAAUCCAUCAUUAAAUAAAUUGAGUAUUAUCU
rnacentral:sRNA from 1 species